UGAGCAAUCUGCCCUUCUCAUCGGAAUAAGCGUUGGAAACGACGUCUAAUGCCGAAUACGACCUCCUUUCGCAUGAUCGGAGGUGGAAAGCUCCGGCGGAGAAGGAUGAGCUCGCGGCCUAUCAGCUAGUUGGUGAGGUAACGGCUCACCAAGGCAACGACGGGUAGCUGGUCUGAGAGGAUGGCCAGCCACAUUGGGACUGAGACACGGCCCAGAUCCGUAACGGGG
rnacentral:rRNA from 1 species